UGGGGAAUUUUGGACAAUGGGCGAAAGCCUGAUCCAGCAAUGCCGCGUGUGUGAAGAAGGCCUUCGGGUUGUAAAGCACUUUUGUCCGGAAAGAAAUCCUUGGUUCUAAUACAGUCGGGGGAUGACGGUACCGGAAGAAUAAGCACCGGCUAACUACGUGCCAGCAGCCGCGGUAAUACGUAGGGUGCAAGCGUUAAUCGGAAUUACUGGGCGUAAAGCGUGCGCAGGCGGUUUGCUAAGACCGAUGUGAAAUCCCCGGGCUCAACCUGGGAACUGCAUUGGUGACUGGCAGGCUAGAGUAUGGCAGAGGGGGGUAGAAUUCCACGUGUAGCAGUGAAAUGCGUAGAGAUGUGGAGGAAUACCGAUGGCGAAGGCAGCCCCCUGGGCCAAUACUGACGCUCAUGCACGAAAGCGUGGGGAGCAAACAGGAUUAGAUACCCUGGUAGUCCACGCCCUAAACGAUGUCAACUAGUUGUGGGGAUUCAUUCCUUAGUAACGUAGCUAACGCGUGAAGUUGACCGCCUGGGGAGUACGGUCGCAAGAUUAAAACUCAAAUGAAUUGACGGGGUCAUAGCUGUUUCCU
rnacentral:rRNA from 1 species